rnacentral:rRNA from 1 species
CGGCGGACGGGUGAGUAACACGUGGAUAACCUACCUAUAAGACUGGGAUAACUUCGGGAAACCGGAGCUAAUACCGGAUAAUAUAUUGAACCGCAUGGUUCAAUAGUGAAAGACGGUUUUGCUGUCACUUAUAGAUGGAUCCGCGCCGCAUUAGCUAGUUGGUAAGGUAACGGCUUACCAAGGCAACGAUGCGUAGCCGACCUGAGAGGGUGAUCGGCCACACUGGAACUGAGACACGGUCCAGACUCCUACGGGAGGCAGCAGGA